AGUACGGUCGCAAGAUUAAAACUCAAAGGAAUUGACGGGGACCCGCACAAGCGGUGGAUGAUGUGGAUUAAUUCGAUGCAACGCGAAAAACCUUACCUACCCUUGACAUGUCACUAACGAAGUAGAGAUACAUUAGGUGCCCGUAAGGGAAAGUGAACACAGGUGCUGCAUGGCUGUCGUCAGCUCGUGUCGUGAGAUGUUGGGUUAAGUCCCGCAACGAGCGCAACCCUUGUCUUUAGUUGCUACGCAAGAGCACUCUAAAGAGACUGCCGGUGACAAACCGGAGGAAGGUGGGGAUGACGUCAAGUCCUCAUGGCCCUUAUGGGUAGGGCUUCACACGUCAUACAAUGGUGCGUACAGAGGGUUGCCAACCCGCGAGGGGGAGCUAAUCUCUUAAAACGCAUCGUAGUCCGGAUCGUAGUCUGCAACUCGACUACGUGAAGCUGGAAUCGCUAGUAAUCGCGGAUCAGCAUGUCGCGGUGAAUACGUUCCCGGGUCUUGUACACACCGCCCGUCACACCAUGGGAGUGGGUUUUGCCAGAAGCAGUUAGCCUAACCGCAAGGGGGGCGAUUGCCACGGCAGGGUUCAUGACUGGGGUG
rnacentral:rRNA from 1 species